GACUCGGUUUCAAAACGGUAUAGCAUCUGACUCCAGAUCAGAAGGUGGCGUGUUCAAAUCACGUCCAGGUCA